AGCGCUUUGGGGAGUGACUUCCGGCCAUGCGGGGCCUCUACCGCUGCCAUCGCGGUCCCGGUCUCCUGAAGUGGAACCCGGCUUGGAGUCGAGCGCGACCCCUCGCCCGUGGGCGCAGGCGAUCGAGUAAGGGUGGGGCGGGCCUCAAACCCGGAUCAGAACCCGCCCUGACCGGCGCAGAGAUACGGGACGCAGCCGACUAAGUUGGUGGCCUAGGUGUGGAGGCUGGUGGGGCCACCACCACAGACCACAGGAGGGGAUGUGUGCAGGCCAGGGUCCAGCCUUGCCUGAGGGUUGCACAGUGUUUUAAGUGACUUCUGCACUGGUGGGCCUCUCCUCCCGAAACCAGUCUCUCCCUCUUAACUCCAUACAGUAAGCAAGGCCCGGGAAGAAGUUGGGUUUCCCUGCCAUCCUUCCUGCCCCAGCCCCUCAUCCUCAACUCACCAUCAACCCUUCCACGAUCCCAAAUCGCUCGUGGAUGACUUUGGCGAGGGGAGCCAAACAGUUGGUGGUGCAGGACGCGUUGCUGAAACAGCCAAGGUGUGCACGGACACUGUGAGCUCUGACAACCUCGCCAUGAACCCUCCUAGACCCUCAGCUCCUGCAAUAGGAAGCUGGCUGCCAAAGGCCAGGAGGGUCCCUGAAAACAGACACUGCAUUAAAGAAAAAGCUCCUGGAGGACUCCUGAAGCCUGAGGCAGCCUUGGGGCAGCAGUGGCUCAUGGUUUACAUUGGAAAGGUUUAUCAUGAGUAACCGGGUGCUUUGCUUCUGUGAUUCUUGGCCAGUGUCGGUCUGUUUCCUUUGCCAUUGAGCCUGCUCCCCUCAAUGGGGGGUUCAAUCAAUGUUUGUGGGGUUUGUUUGUUUUGAGACAGGGUCUUCCUCUGUCGCCCAGGCUGGAGUGCAGUGGUGCAAUCAGAGCUCACUGCAGCCUUGAUCUUCCUGGCUCCGGCCAUCCUCCUGCCUUGGCCUCCCGAGUAGCUGGGACUACAGGCGCACACCACCAUGCCAAGCUAAUUUUUAAAUUUUUUUGUAGAGAUGGGGUCUCACUUUUGUUGCCCAGGGUGCUUUAGAACCCCUGGGCUCAAGUGAUCCUUGACCUCCCACAGUGCUGGGAUUACAGGUGUGAGCCACCGUGCCUGGCCUCAUGGGUUUUCUUUGUUUUGUUUUGUUUUGUUUUUGAGACAG
rnacentral:lncRNA from 1 species